rnacentral:rRNA from 1 species
UACGUAGGGUGCAAGCGUUUAAUCGGAAUACUGGGCGUAAAAGCGUGCGCAGGCGGUUAUAUAAGACAGUUGUGAAAUCCCCGGGCUCAACCUGGGAACUGCAUCUGUGACUGUAUAGCUAGAGUACGGUAGAGGGGGAUGGAAUUCCGCGUGUAGCAGUGAAAUGCGUAGAUAUGCGGAGGAACACCGAUGGCGAAGGCAAUCCCCUGGACCUGUACUGACGCUCAUGCACGAAAGCGUGGGGAGC